rnacentral:rRNA from 1 species
CCUACGGGUGGCUGCAGUGAGGAAUAUUGGUCAAUGGGCGUGAGCCUGAACCAGCCAAGUAGCGUGAAGGCUGACUGUUCUAUGGAUUGUAAACCUCUUUUAUAAAGGAAUAAAGUGCGGCACGUUUGCCUUUUUGUAUGUACCUUAUGACUAAGGAUCGGCUAACUCCGUGCCAGCAGCCGCGGUAAUACGGAGGAUCCGAGCGUUAUCCGGAUUUAUUGGGUUUAAAGGGUGCGUAGUCGGGCUGUUAAGUCAGUUGUGAAAGUUUGUGGCUCAACCAUAAAAUUGCCGUUGAUACUGGCAGCCUUGAGUACGGUUGAGGUAGGCGGAAUGCGUGGUGUAGCGGUGAAAUGCUUAGAUAUCACGAAGAACCCCGAUUGCGAAGGCAGCCUGCCAAGCCACGACUGACGCUGAUGCACGAAAGUGUGGGGAUCAAACAGGAUUAGAUACCCCAGUAGUC